GGCGACUGGGCGGUUUCCCUACCCAAAGUGGAACAGUGUGUUUGACCAGUUGACACAGGUGGUGAAGGAGAACCUCCACAGCUUACCAACUCAGAAGACAGGCAGUUCUCCCCCAAAUUCAUCAACUUUGUCAAUCUGUGCCUAACAAAGGAUGAGUCAAAAAGGCCAAAGUACAAAGAGCUUCUGAAACAUGCUUUCAUUCUGAUGUAUGAGGAGCGCUCAGUGGAUGUUGCCAGUUACGUCUGCAGAAUCCUGGAUCAGAUGCCUACUUCUCCCAGCUCCCCCAUGUACGUCGACUGACUGUAGAACAAGUAAUAACGGAAGCCUGGAACAACAACAACAAUGACCUAAAGAGUUGCUUCAUCCCAUACUGCAGUGUUAAACUAAGACAGGAAAUGUACAAACUAAAACACCACGUGUACUAAGACUGGUGAUCAGUCACGUCUGUAUGCUAUCAACAUUCUCACACUUUUCUCUAUCCUACACACACACUUACAUGUAAGUACAACUAGUAACUGAAUGAAUAUACCAUGGUCUUGGUUCACCUCGAUGUGAGACCUCAUCUCUAAUGUGGAUACAGUACAGUGAUUUAAAAUCUGGAAAUGUAUUUAUAGUGUUUAAUCACUUGUGGAAUAUAUGAUUUGGAGAUACUGGAAUCAUGCUCUUUGACUCUUCCCACCUCUUCCAUGUAUGUUACUUUAAGAAUUGUGGUUGGUAUCUUAAAUGAAACCUUGCUUCUUAUGGUGUAAAGCAAUUUAAAACGUAACAGCAUUGAUGGACAGGAUCAUGUGGCCUCCAUCCAAUGUUGUGAGGGUGCUGCCGUCACUGUGCAAUGGACUUUGUGCUGAUAUAUAAAUAAAGAGAGAAAUAAUUGUGCUUUGAGAGACAUUUAGUUACUCUGCAUCUAUUUGAGCUCAGGUUAAUCCAUUGAUGUAAGCAGGCAAGCAACCACACAAACAAACACACUCACUGGCUCUCUCAGCCAUGGCAUAUGCAACACUCUCUUUAAAAGCUAAGCUGUAUGUAUGUAUGGUGCUGUUGAUCUGUAGUUAUACAUAAUGCCAUCUUGUAUCUCUGUAUAUAGCCACACAUUUAUCUGUAAUGAAAUUGCCUACUGUUCUGGAUGUUGCAACCAUUCU
ensembl:lncRNA